CCUGGCAGUCAGAGGCGAUGAAGGGCGUGCUAAUCUGCGAUAAGCGCCGGUAAGGUGAUAUGAACCGUUAUAACCGGCGAUACCCGAAUGGGGAAACCCAGUGUGAUUCGUCACACUAUCAUUAACUGAAUCCAUAGGUUAAUGAGGCGAACCGGGGGAACUGAAACAUCUAAGUACCCCGAGGAAAAGAAAUCAACCGAGAUUCCCCCAGUAGCGGCGAGCGAACGGGGAGGAGCCCAGAGCCUGAAUCAGCAUGUGUGUUAGUGGAAGCGNNNNNNNNNNNNNNNNNNNNNNNNUGACAGCCCCGUACACAAAAGCGCAUGUGCUGUGAGCUCGAUGAGUAGGGCGGGACACGUGGUAUCCUGUCUGAAUAUGGGGGGACCAUCCUCCAAGGCUAAAUACUCCUGACUGACCGAUAGUGAACCAGUACCGUGAGGGAAAGGCGAAAAGAACCCCGGCGAGGGGAGUGAAAAAGAACCUGAAACCGUGUACGUACAAGCAGUGGGAGCACAGGUUUACCUGUGUGACUGCGUACCUUUUGUAUAAUGGGUCAGCGACUUAUAUUCUGUAGCAAGGUUAACNNNNNNNNNNNNNNNNNNNNNNNNNNNNNNNNNNNNNNNNNNNNNNNNNNNNNNNNNNNNNNNNNNNNNNNNNNNNNNNNNNNNNNNNNGGUUGAAGGUUGGGUAACACUAACUGGAGGACCGAACCGACUAAUGUUGAAAAAUUAGCGGAUGACCUGUGGCUGGGGGUGAAAGGCCAAUCAAACCGGGAGAUAGCUGGUUCUCCCCGAAAGCUAUUUAGGUAGCGCCUCGUGAAUUCAUCUCCGGGGGUAGAGCACUGUUUCGGCUAGGGGGCCAUCCCGGCUUACCAACCCGAUGCAAACUGCGAAUACCGGAGAAUGUUAUCACGGGAGACACACGGCGGGUGCUAACGUCCGUCGUGAAGAGGGAAACAACCCAGACCGCCAGCUAAGGUCCCAAAGUCAUGGUUAAGUGGGAAACGAUGUGGGAAGGCCCAGACAGCCAGGAUGUUGGCUUAGAAGCAGCCAUCAUUUAAAGAAAGCGUAAUAGCUCACUGGUCGAGUCGGCCUGCGCGGAAGAUGUAACGGGGCUAAACCAUGCACCGAAGCUGCGGCAGCGAACGUAUCACCCAAGACAACUUUACGGAGUUGACGAUUGACGGAGCGAAGCGACGUCAAAGCGUUCAUUAAAGUCGAGUUGGCUUAGGGAUACGUUCGUUGGGUAGGGGAGCGUUCUGUAAGCCUGUGAAGGUGUGUCGUGAGGCAUGCUGGAGGUAUCAGAAGUGCGAAUGCUGACAUAAGUAACGAUAAAGCGGGUGAAAAGCCCGCUCGCCGGAAGACCAAGGGUUCCUGUCCAACGUUAAUCGGGGCAGGGUGAGUCGACCCCUAAGGCGAGGCCGAAAGGCGUAGUCGAUGGGAAACGGGUUAAUAUUCCCGUACUUGGUGUUACUGCGAAGGGGGGACGGAGAAGGCUAUGUUGGCCGGGCGACGGUUGUCCCGGUUUAAGCGUGUAGGUGUGUGUUCCAGGUAAAUCCGGUUCACUUUAACACUGAGGCGUGACGACGAGGCACUACGGUGCUGAAGCAACAAAUGCCCUGCUUCCAGGAAAAGCCUCUAAGCAUCAGGUAACAUCAAAUCGUACCCCAAACCGACACAGGUGGUCAGGUAGAGAAUACCAAGGCGCUUGAGAGAACUCGGGUGAAGGAACUAGGCAAAAUGGUGCCGUAACUUCGGGAGAAGGCACGCUGACACGUAGGUGAAGUGAUUUACUCAUGGAGCUGAAGUCAGUCGAAGAUACCAGCUGGCUGCAACUGUUUAUUAAAAACACAGCACUGUGCAAACACGAAAGUGGACGUAUACGGUGUGACGCCUGCCCGGUGCCGGAAGGUUAAUUGAUGGGGUCAGCGCAAGCGAAGCUCCUGAUCGAAGCCCCGGUAAACGGCGGCCGUAACUAUAACGGUCCUAAGGUAGCGAAAUUCCUUGUCGGGUAAGUUCCGACCUGCACGAAUGGCGUAAUGAUGGCCAGGCUGUCUCCACCCGAGACUCAGUGAAAUUGAACUCGCUGUGAAGAUGCAGUGUACCCGCGGCAAGACGGAAAGACCCCGUGAACCUUUACUAUAGCUUGACACUGAACAUUGAGCCUUGAUGUGUAGGAUAGGUGGGAGGCUUUGAAGUGUGGACGCCAGUCUGCAUGGAGCCGACCUUGAAAUACCACCCUUUAAUGUUUGAUGUUCUAACGUGGACCCGUAAUCCGGGUUGCGGACAGUGUCUGGUGGGUAGUUUGACUGGGGCGGUCUCCUCCUAAAGAGUAACGGAGGAGCACGAAGGUUGGCUAAUCCUGGUCGGACAUCAGGAGGUUAGUGCAAUGGCAUAAGCCAGCUUGACUGCGAGCGUGACGGCGCGAGCAGGUGCGAAAGCAGGUCAUAGUGAUCCGGUGGUUCUGAAUGGAAGGGCCAUCGCUCAACGGAUAAAAGGUACUCCGGGGAUAACAGGCUGAUACCGCCCAAGAGUUCAUAUCGACGGCGGUGUUUGGCACCUCGAUGUCGGCUCAUCACAUCCUGGGGCUGAAGUAGGUCCCAAGGGUAUGGCUGUUCGCCAUUUAAAGUGGUACGCGAGCUGGGUUUAGAACGUCGUGAGACAGUUCGGUCCCUAUCUGCCGUGGGCGCUGGAGAACUGAGGGGGGCUGCUCCUAGUACGAGAGGACCGGAGUGGACGCAUCACUGGUGUUCGGGUUGUCAUGCCAAUGGCACUGCCCGGUAGCUAAAUGCGGAAGAGAUAAGUGCUGAAAGCAUCUAAGCACGAAACUUGCCCCGAGAUGAGUUCUCCCUGAGACUUAGAGUCUCCUGAAGGAACGUUGAAGACGACGACGUUGAUAGGCCGGGUGUGUAAGCGCAGCGAUGCGUUGAGCUAACCGGUACUAAUGAACCGUGAGGCUUAACCUU
rnacentral:rRNA from 1 species